rnacentral:rRNA from 1 species
AUUGAACGCUGGCGGCGUGCCUAACACAUGCAAGUCGAGCGGCAGCGGGCCCGCAAGGGUGCCGGCGAGCGGCGGACGGGUGAGCAAUACAUAGGAAUCUGCCUUAGAGCGGGGGAUAGCCAGGGGAAACCCUGAUUAAUACCGCAUGAUGUCGAGAGACCAAAGUGGGGGAUCGUAAGACCUCACACUCUAAGAUGAGCCUAUGUCGGAUUAGCUAGUGGCGGGGUAACGGCCCACCAAGGCGACGAUCCGUAGCUGGUCUGAGAGGACGAUCAGCCACACCGGAACUGAGACACGGUCCGGACUCCUACGGGAGGCAGCAGUGGGGAAUAUUGGACAAUGGGCGAAAGCCUGAUCCAGCGACGCCGCGUGGGUGAAGAA